ensembl:lncRNA
CCCCAGUACUCACACUCCAUCUGACUGCUAAGAGCAUCCCUUCCCCAAUGGCAUCUUCAGGCUGAGAAGCAUCAAAGAGAGUGAGCAACUGUCUUGAGCCUUAGAAGGAAAAAAGGCAGGGAGAGAAGAAGGAAAAAGCAAUUCUCUUCAAGAAUUUCAUGGUGGCAUUCUCUCCAACUGCUUCUCCCAUGGACCAGAAAUCAUACCUAAUUCAGAGAGUAACUUUUGGAUGAAGAUGCUGUGCUUCGUCCUGCUAACAUUCCCAGUUGUCAUCAUGUCUAUGUCAUCUAUUCUGUUUAUGGAGAUCUGUAUGAGACCCGAGCUGGGCACCGCCACCUUGGAGGUUUUAAGGCCCAGGAGAACAGCGGGCUGGGCACCCUGCCCUGAUUUCCCAUGGACCUUCCCAGAGCAGAAGCUUCGAAGCAGCCUUCCAGCCCCAGCCAUUCGGUGGUUGUAUUCUCUCUUGUGCUGGGUUCCCCAGUGUGAAUCUGUACCAACUCAAAAUAUGAGUAAUUUAAAAUCAAAGUAGUUUAAGCGAAA